AACCCAGAACUCAUUGUCAAGUAUGA
rnacentral:piRNA from 1 species